rnacentral:rRNA from 1 species
AUACGUAGGGGGCGAGCGUUGUCCGGAAUGAUUGGGCGUAAAGGGCGCGUAGGCGGCCCGGUAAGUCUGGAGUGAAAGUCCUGUUUUUAAGAUGGGAAUUGCUUUGGAUACUGUCGGGCUUGAGUGCUGGAGAGGUAAGUGGAAUUCCCAGUGUAGCGGUGAAAUGCGUAGAGAUUGGGAGGAACACCAGUGGCGAAGGCGACUUACUGGACUGUAACUGACGCUGAGGCGCGAAAGUGUGGGGAGCAAACAGGAUUAGAUACCCUGGUAGUCCACACUGUAAACGAUGAAUGCUAGGUGUAGGGGGUAUCGACCCCUUCUGUGCCGCAGUCAACACAAUAAGCAUUCCGCCUGGGGAGUACGGCCGCAAGGUUGAAACUCAAAUGAAUUGGCGGGG